UGAGAGAAGUUUGGCUAACACCCCAGGAAGGUGUGGGAGGGAGCAAACAAGAUUAGCAACUGUGAACAAGAGAGGUCAGGAUCUGUCCUGGGAGAGAAAAGAGGCUGAGUUCAAACUUCUCACUCUCCCAACCAGGACACCUGCACCCCUGGCCCCUCUCUUACUCAAGGGCAUUCAAGCCUGGACUUAAGUCAUACUAUAUUGCCUAAUCUUCUCUUUUAUUUUUAUUUUUUUAUGAGCUCCUAGGCACAGAAUGAAAAGGCCUUUCCUAAUUCCUUCUGUCCUGAGUAGCUUUUCUUGAAAUUGUGACUUGUUUCUAAUUCUAUUCUCAGAGACCUGUAGAUGUUGCUUCCCACCAAGAAUAUAAAGCUUUUUGUUCUGGAGGUCAGGGGAGUGAGGCAGGGGUUGGAGGUUACUGGAGUCGGGACAGAAGGGCAUCAUGUACCGACCCUUGCCUUGCUGUAAUGCUAUUCCGUGUGGCGAUUAACUUGGGGGUGACUUGGAAUUUUAGAAUCCAAAGAGUAUCCACUGGGAUGUUUUUUUGGCCAAAACUCUUCUUUUUGUAACCAGAUGGAAGUCCUAAUGAUGCUACCAUCAUCUGUUCGAGAGGUAGCUCAGAAGCUACAGGGAACUUCAGGUCCUUGAUUAUUGCCUUCUUUUUAAAAGCACACACUCCUCCCCAACUGCCCCCCCCCCUUAACCCACCAACCCUACCCCACACCCCUCCCCUUCUGGUUGGGUCAUGGAACUCCCCUAUUUUCUAGGACAGGAGUUCUCAGUCACUGUGCAAUAUGGCCUCCUGGGUCCCAGGAAGAGCUGGAGGAGAACUGGCUGUCACAACCUCCUGGCGCCCUGGUGGGCUUAGGAAACUCUCUCUCUUUCUGUCCUCAGGACUAUGGAUUUAUGCUCAGCCUUGCAGGUAUUUCUUGGCUGAAGGAGAGAAUGCCCCAAGUUACUGCUUGGUACUCUUAUAGAACUGACUGUAACAGCCAGACCUUGGGCAUUGUUUUUUCCUCGGUGGUGCUCAGAGCACCCGUGGGAGAGGCUGCCGUCUCGCUCCCUACAAUCCAAGCUUGUCUACAGACUUGUGCAAUAGUUACUGUGCUGAGUCUGAGGAAAAUGGAAAAUUCCACAGGGAAGAAAUCCCAUUGCUUCAGUUUCUCAGUGACAUUGGUGAGGGGUCUUCAAGCCGUGAGUUCCCCAGACCCAAGUCCCCUUGCGAAGGCCACAGCUGGGUGUCUGGUGAACCUGGCUGCUGUCCCGCUGUUGCCCGUAGUGAGGGACUUUUCUCUCCACUGCCGGUCCCCUUUCCUGGAUUUCUUAACUACUCGAUUCUGA
rnacentral:lncRNA from 1 species